rnacentral:misc_RNA from 1 species
GAAGAAGAAGAAGAAGCAAAUAAGAAAAAAAGAGAAUUAAGAACAUUGUAGAAUGUAUGAAAGUAGCAGCGGAUAAUCCAUUGCUAGUACAUUUCACGUAAAAUAAAUGAAAUUCAUCACAGAUGAUGCUUUUACUUCUGAUAUCAGAAAUAAUUAAUGAAUUCCGUUUCUUGAUAUGUUCUCUUCUAUUCAUUUUCACUUUGGUGUAAUAUGAUCUAGAGGUCACGGGUUUGAGGCAUGGAAAAAACCUCUAUGCAAAGUAGCGCUACGGUGCGUACAUAACCCUCCCAAAAGCCUAUAAGUGUAGGAUGCUUCAUGUACUAGUCACCCUUUAUCUCCUUCUGGAAGAAUUUGGGUCCAGGUCAUCCAUGUAGGUCAACCUUGAUCCAUGUCUCUUGAAUAAUAUUUGUGGAAUAUUAUUUAUUAAUAUAGAAAUAUUUGAAAACUUGUCACUGAAUGUCAGUUGAGUUGCCAUACGUAUGGACAUGAUGAUUGGCCAUAUCUCAUAUGUUUUACUUGGACACACACACACAAACACACACA